GUGCGUCAACUUGUCGGAAGCUUCGCAGAAAAAAAUGAUUUAUGUGAAACAACUGUUGUACUCUAAAAACUUUUAGAGUACAACGGUUGUUUCACAUGAUAUCAGAGUAGGAGGUUCUGAGUUCGAGUCACGCCAGACUCCUAGCAUAUUAAUUUCCUCCCAUUUAAUUUAAGCCUACGUCAUGAACCGAUUAAAAAGUUUCGAGCCCAGACGUGAAAGGGAGUGUUAAAUAUAAAAAUGUUUAAACACCAUUCUCUAACAGCUUAAGCUUUUAGAGUACAACGGUUGUUUCACAUGAUAUCAGAGCAGGAGGUCCUGAGUUCGAGUCACGCCAGGCUCCUAAUAUAUUAAUUUCCUUCCAUUUAAUUCAAACCCAUGUCAUGGACCGAUUAAAAAAUCUCGAGCUCAGACGUGAGGGGGAGUGUUAAAUAUAAAAAUGUUUAAACACCGUUCUUUAACAGCUUAAGCUUUUAGCAACGGUUGUUUCACAAUUUAUAAACUAAAAGGAGAAUGUCUGUUGAUCCGACAUGGACUCCACAGAACGCAUUGUAUCAGAUUUUGAAGAAACCUGUUAUGAACAAACA
rnacentral:lncRNA from 1 species